rnacentral:rRNA from 1 species
GUCGCGUGAAGGAAGACGGCCCUACGGGUUGUAAACUUCUUUUGUAGAGGGAUAAAACAGGGCACGUGUGCUCUCUUGUAGGUACUCUACGAAUAAGGAUCGGCUAACUCCGUGCCAGCGGCCGCGGUAAUA